rnacentral:snoRNA from 1 species
AAUCUCCAGUUUCUUAACCCAUUAGAUCUCAACCCUGCCCUGAGUGGUUACAAAAAGAGGGAAAUUAAAAUGAACACUGACUUCAAUGCUUUUGAGACAGAUGAGCUAUUUACAAACAAAC